UUGAAAGGAGCUUGCUUUUUUCAACUCAGUGGCGGACGGGUGAGUAACGCGUGAGUAACCUGCCUUUCAGAGGGGGAUAACGUUCUGAAAAGAACGCUAAUACCGCAUAAGAUUGUAGUUUCGCAUGGAGCAGCAAUCAAAGGAGCAAUCCGCUGAAAGAUGGACUCGCGUCCGAUUAAAUAGUUGGCGGGGUAACGGCCCACCAAGUCGACGAUCAGUAGCCGGUCUGAGAGGAUGAACGGCCACAUUGGGACUGAGAUACGGCCCAGACUCC
rnacentral:rRNA from 1 species